rnacentral:lncRNA from 1 species
UAAGGAGUCAUUGCACGAUGUAGAACAAAGAAGAACAAAGAAGUUUAAGAGAGUACAUUGUGGGCAUGAAAUAAAAUUUUAAUGUGAUCACCUUGGUUCUUCUGUGACUUGAGGAAAAGAAACAAAGAACUGCCAAACAACCAGACUGGCUAUGAUACUGUGGCUCUGUAACCCUCUGCUGGACUAAACCUGCAGUUUGCUGUGCUGAACCUCACUGUGUGGUGUGUGUGUGGACAUCUUCAGAAGGCAAAGAACAAAGCAAGCCAUUGCUUCUGUGACAUCACAGGAAAGGAAGAAGCUGUGAAAACAUGAAGAUACUGGAA